rfam:Triticum urartu cultivar G1812 contig433967, whole genome shotgun sequence.
CUAGUACUUCCUCCGUCUGAAAAUAUUUGUCUUAGAAAUGAAUAAAAUGGAUGUAUCUAUAAUUAAAAUAAGUCUAGAUACAAUCAUUUAUAGGACAAGUAUUUUCGGAUGGAGAGAGUACUAG